rnacentral:rRNA from 1 species
UUAAGCGACUAAGCGUACACGGUGGAUGCCCUGGCAGUCAGAGGCGAUGAAGGGCGUGCUAAUCUGCGAUAAGCGCCGGUAAGGUGAUAUGAACCGUUAUAACCGGCGAUACCCGAAUGGGGAAACCCAGUGUGACUCGUCACACUAUCAUUAACUGAAUCCAUAGGUUAAUGAGGCGAACCGGGGGAACUGAAACAUCUAAGUACCCCGAGGAAAAGAAAUCAACCGAGAUUCCCCCAGUAGCGGCGAGCGAACGGGGAGGAGCCCAGAGCCUGAAUCAGCAUGUGUGUUAGUGGAAGCGUCUGGAAAGGCGCGCGAUACAGGGUGACAGCCCCGUACACAAAAGCGCAUGUGCUGUGAGCUCGAUGAGUAGGGCGGGACACGUGGUAUCCUGUCUGAAUAUGGGGGGACCAUCCUCCAAGGCUAAAUACUCCUGACUGACCGAUAGUGAACCAGUACCGUGAGGGAAAGGCGAAAAGAACCCCGGCGAGGGGAGUGAAAAAGAACCUGAAACCGUGUACGUACAAGCAGUGGGAGCNNGUGACUGCGUACCUUUUGUAUAAUGGGUCAGCGACUUAUAUUCUGUAGCAAGGUUAACCGAAUAGGGGAGCCGGAGGGAAACCGAGUCUUAAUUGGGCGUUAAGUUGCAGGGUAUAGACCCGAAACCCGGUGAUCUAGCCAUGGGCAGGUUGAAGGUUGGGUAACACUAACUGGAGGACCGAACCGACUAAUGUUGAAAAAUUAGCGGAUGACCUGUGGCUGGGGGUGAAAGGCCAAUCAAACCGGGAGAUAGCUGGUUCUCCCCGAAAGCUAUUUAGGUAGCGCCUCGUGAAUUCAUCUCCGGGGGUAGAGCACUGUUUCGGCUAGGGGGCCAUCCCGGCUUACCAACCCGAUGCAAACUGCGAAUACCGGAGAAUGUUAUCACGGGAGACACACGGCGGGUGCUAACGUCCGUCGUGAAGAGGGAAACAACCCAGACCGCCAGCUAAGGUCCCAAAGUCAUGGUUAAGUGGGAAACGAUGUGGGAAGGCCCAGACAGCCAGGAUGUUGGCUUAGAAGCAGCCAUCAUUUAAAGAAAGCGUAAUAGCUCACUGGUCGAGUCGGCCUGCGCGGAAGAUGUAACGGGGCUAAACCAUGCACCGAAGCUGCGGCAGCGANNGUUGGGUAGGGGAGCGUUCUGUAAGCCUGCGAAGGUGGCCUGUGAGGGUUGCUGGAGGUAUCAGAAGUGCGAAUGCUGACAUAAGUAACGAUAAAGCGGGUGAAAAGCCCGCUCGCCGGAAGACCAAGGGUUCCUGUCCAACGUUAAUCGGGGCAGGGUGAGUCGACCCCUAAGGCGAGGCCGAAAGGCGUAGUCGAUGGGAAACGGGUUAAUAUUCCCGUACUUGGUGUUACUGCGAAGGGGGGACGGAGAAGGCUAUGUUGGCCGGGCGACGGUUGUCCCGGUUUAAGCGUGUAGGUGUGUGUUCCAGGUAAAUCCGGUUCACUUUAACACUGAGGCGUGAUGACGAGGCACUACGGUGCUGAAGCAACAAAUGCCCUGCUUCCAGGAAAAGCCUCUAAGCAUCAGGUAACAUCAAAUCGUACCCCAAACCGACACAGGUGGUCAGGUAGAGAAUACCAAGGCGCUUGAGAGAACUCGGGUGAAGGAACUAGGCAAAAUGGUGCCGUAACUUCGGGAGAAGGCACGCUGACAUGUAGGUGAAGUGAUUUACUCAUGGAGCUGAAGUCAGUCGAAGAUACCAGCUGGCUGCAACUGUUUAUUAAAAACACAGCACUGUGCAAACACGAAAGUGGACGUAUACGGUGUGACGCCUGCCCGGUGCCGGAAGGUUAAUUGAUGGGGUCAGCGCAAGCGAAGCUCCUGAUCGAAGCCCCGGUAAACGGCGGCCGUAACUAUAACGGUCCUAAGGUAGCGAAAUUCCUUGUCGGGUAAGUUCCGACCUGCACGAAUGGCGUAAUGAUGGCCAGGCUGUCUCCACCCGAGACUCAGUGAAAUUGAACUCGCUGUGAAGAUGCAGUGUACCCGCGGCAAGACGGAAAGACCCCGUGAACCUUUACUAUAGCUUGACACUGAACAUUGAGCCUUGAUGUGUAGGAUAGGUGGGAGGCUUUGAAGCGUGGACGCCAGUCUGCGUGGAGCCGACCUUGAAAUACCACCCUUUAAUGUUUGAUGUUCUAACGUGGACCCGUAAUCCGGGUUGCGGACAGUGUCUGGUGGGUAGUUUGACUGGGGCGGUCUCCUCCUAAAGAGUAACGGAGGAGCACGAAGGUUGGCUAAUCCUGGUCGGACAUCAGGAGGUUAGUGCAAUGGCAUAAGCCAGCUUGACUGCGAGCGUGACGGCGCGAGCAGGUGCGAAAGCAGGUCAUAGUGAUCCGGUGGUUCUGAAUGGAAGGGCCAUCGCUCAACGGAUAAAAGGUACUCCGGGGAUAACAGGCUGAUACCGCCCAAGAGUUCAUAUCGACGGCGGUGUUUGGCACCUCGAUGUCGGCUCAUCACAUCCUGGGGCUGAAGUAGGUCCCAAGGGUAUGGCUGUUCGCCAUUUAAAGUGGUACGCGAGCUGGGUUUAGAACGUCGUGAGACAGUUCGGUCCCUAUCUGCCGUGGGCGCUGGAGAACUGAGGGGGGCUGCUCCUAGUACGAGAGGACCGGAGUGGACGCAUCACUGGUGUUCGGGUUGUCAUGCCAAUGGCACUGCCCGGUAGCUAAAUGCGGAAGAGAUAAGUGCUGAAAGCAUCUAAGCACGAAACUUGCCCCGAGAUGAGUUCUCCCUGAGACUUAGAGUCUCCUGAAGGAACGUUGAAGACGACGACGUUGAUAGGCCGGGUGUGUAAGCGCAGCGAUGCGUUGAGCUAACCGGUACUAAUGAACCGUGAGGCUUAACCUU